UCCAUCGCAAAUUGGGGUCGGAUAAUUAAAUGUCCCUAAAUUAAAAAUCCGAGACCCCUUCCCACGCGCGCUCAAAUCUCAAACAAUUUGAUGAGUUUUGAGAAAUCGUUCCCGAUCAAAAUGAUAGAGUGCUUCUUCACCCUUCUCUUUGUGCAGAGAGAGAGGAAAAGCGUUUCCGCCCUGGCUCUGAGCACAACAGAAAACCCUGCUCUUCGCGCAUAGAGAGAAGAGACCAGAUCCGCCUCCGCCCUUGGUUCUAAACACAGAAAACCAUGCUAUUUGCCACAGGGAGGAGCUACUCCUCUGCCCAAAUCGUUACUUUGUGGGCUUUCUUCACCAAUAUUUCUGGUACUUGUUCUCUGUUUCUCCUGAUUU